rnacentral:rRNA from 1 species
GAUGAACGCUGGCGGCGUGCCUAAUACAUGCAAGUCGAGCGAACAGAUGAGGAGCUUGCUCCUCUGACGUUAGCGGCGGACGGGUGAGUAACACGUGGAUAACCUACCUAUAAGACUGGGAUAACUUCGGGAAACCGGAGCUAAUACCGGAUAAUAUAUUGAACCGCAUGGAUCAAUAGUGAAAGACGGUUUUGCUGUCACUUAUAGAUGGAUCCGCGCCGCAUUAGCUAGUUGGUAAGGUAACGGCUUACCAAGGCAACGAUGCGUAGCCGACCUGAGAGGGUGAUCGGCCACACUGGAACUGAGACACGGCCCAGACUCCUACGGGAGGCAGCAGUAGGGAAUCUUCCGCAAUGGGCGAAAGCCUGACGGAGCAACGCCGCGUGAGUGAUGAAGGUCUUCGGAUCGUAAAGCUCUGUUAUUAGGGAAGAACAAAUGUGUAAUUAACUAUGCACGUCUUGACGGUACCUAAUCAGAAAGCCACGGCUAACUACGUG